AUUUAAAUAGUUUAAAAAAAAAUAUUGAUUUGUGGAAUCAAAGAUUUAAAAAAAAUUUUAUUUAAAUU
rnacentral:tRNA from 1 species